rnacentral:rRNA from 1 species
GUCCACGCCGUAAACGAUGGACACUAGGCGUCGGGGGAGCGACCCUCCCGGUGCCGUCGCUAACGCAGUAAGUGUCCCGCCUGGGGAGUACGGCCGCAAGGCUGAAACUCAAAGGAAUUGACGGGGCCCGCACAAGCGGUGGAGCAUGUGGUUUAAUUCGAAGCAACGCGAAGAACCUUACCUGGGCUUGACAUGCUGGUGAAAGCCGGUGGAAACAUCGGCCCCUCUUCGGAGCGCCAGCACAGGUGCUGCAUGGCUGUCGU